UAGUCCACACCGUAAACGAUGAAUGCCAGACGUCGGGGGGCUUGCCCUUCGGUGUCACACCUAACGGAUUAAGCAUUCCGCCUGGGGAGUACGGUCGCAAGAUUAAAACUCAAAGAAUUGACGGGGGCCCGCACAAGCGGUGGAGCAUGUGGUUUAAUUCGAUGCAACGCGAAAAACCUUACCUACCCUUGACAUCCUCAGAACUUGUUAGAGAUAACUUGGUGCCUUCGGGAACUGAGUGACAGGUGCUGCAUGGCUGUCGUCAGUUCGUGUCGUGAGAUGUUGGGUUAAGUCCCGCAACGAGCGCAACCCUUGUCCCUAGUUGCCAGCACGUAAUGGUGGGAACUCUAGGGAGACUGCCGGUGACAAACCGGAGGAAGGUGGGGAUGACGUCAAGUCAUCGUGGCCCUUACGGGUAGGGCUACACACGUGCUACAAUGGUCGGUACAGAGGGUUGCGAAGCCGCGAGGUGGAGCUAAUCUCAUAAAACCGAUCGUAGUCCGGAUUGGAUCGGGUNCACUCGA
rnacentral:rRNA from 1 species